rnacentral:rRNA from 1 species
AUGAAGGAGCAAUCACUCAUGAAACAGUUAAGAAAGAUCACCAAAUUCACGCAACGUUUUUGGUCACUCGACCCUGCUUCUGAAGUACGUGCGAUCCAAGCCUCUGAAUCUCCUCCCUACUUCCGAUCAAAGAUACUAGUACAGUUGAAAAACCGCCGUGCAGCUGGCAACAGCGGGGCCGAGGACUCUGAUCAUGGGGGCCCAGCGAACAAGGGAUCUGGCGAGCAGGAGGAGAAGAAGACGCUGACGAGUGGGCCUGGCAGCGAAUGGGAGCGGGCGUCAUUCGACCUGGAGACAGCGUACCCCCGACCGCGCUACACCACCAAGCAGGCACUCAAGACGGCGGCGAUGGAGGAGCAACUAGCGGCGCUGAUCCAGUCGGUCCAGGAGGGUCGCGUCGCCAACGAUGCCAAGCUGGAGGCGACCCAGCAGUCGCUGGAGCUCUGGCGACCGGCGGUCCAGAAUCUGCAAGGUCAGAUCGACGAGCUCCGUACUCAAGUGGGGCGGAUCGCGCUGCAUCCUGCUCUCGCGGAUCCGGCGGCCAUCGAGGAGGGAACCGCGCGGGCGCCGCCGACUGCCGCGUCGGAGCACUCGGGGCCAAGUGGCCACGGCGAGAUCGACGACUCCGGGGGCUUGGUUCACGGGGUGGUCACCACCCUGGUACCGCCUCCGGUCAAGGGUGCGUUACCUUCUUCCUCCUUUGUUAACCCAGUACAAAGGGAUCUGGAGUUGGUUCGUGGGUCGAUGAGCGAAGGGCCGCAGCAUCACGCCCAGCACGCGUCGCUCACGCACUGGGCUCUGCCCAAGCUUGAUUUUCCACAAUUCGAUGGGGAUAACCCUCAAUUCUGGAAAACUAAGUGCGAAAAGUAUUUUGAUGUCUAUGGAGUCAGUGAGGAUAUGUGGGUGCGGGUUGCUACCUUGCACUUCACGGGUGACGCUGCCCGAUGGCUACAGUUAUAUGAGAAAGGGAUGAAAACAAUAGAGUGGGAAGGGUUGUGUGCUGCACUCUGUAGCAAAUUCGGACGCGACCAAUAUCAGGCGCAACUCCGCCAAAUUGCUCAGCUAUCGCAGACGGGUUCGGUGUCGGAUUACAUGACACAGUUCGAGGAGUUGAUGCACAAUCUGUUAGCGUACAAUUCUGGGUUUGAUCCACUGUAUUUUACUACCAAGUUCUUAGAUGGGUUGCGUCCAGAGAUUCGAUCGGGUGUGGUUUUGCACCGUCCAAAAGACCUCGAUGCUGCCUAUUCCUUGUCUCUGUUACAGGAGGAGCUCUUGGAGGCACAGCCGCGGCGCGAUUAUCGGCGGCAGGAGCAGCAGCCGGCGCGAGGCCAGCCAUGUCUGCUACUGGCACCACCGCCCCAACGAGCAUUGUUGCCUGCACCACCAGCCGCAGCAGAAGACCGUCGAGGGUUAGAGGAGCAGAACGACGAGUCGAACCACCACCAGCACGGGGCGAGGAUCGGUCGCCGCACUAAGAAACUAUCGCAGAGCCCGUGGCCUGUGUUUCAAGCAGAAGAAAUGGAGCGUCAAGAGCAGAACCAUGAACCUGAAGAAGAGCAGCUGAUGUCUAUCUCCAAACUGGCCACCAUAGGGCAGACAACACCACGGACAGUUCGGCUGUUGGGCCACAUUGACAAACAAGAGGUGUUGAUAUUGGUCGACUCGGGGAGUUCUCAUAGCUUUAUCAGUGAGGCAAUCGCGGGCAAGUUCCCGGAUCGCGUUCGGGCAAUGGCGCCGGUGUCAGUCAAGAUAGCAGAUGGGGGACUGCUCUCGUGUUCGGGUUACAUUCCCCAGUGCAGAUGGGAAGUGCAAGGGCAAGAGUUUUCCACCGACUUGAGGGUGUUGUCGUUAGGCUUCUAUGACAUGGUGAUUGGAAUGGAUUGGUUUGAGAGUUGUGGACCUAUGAUGGUGGAUUGGGUGCGCAAGACACUGACAUUUCAGCACAAGGGAGAUACAGUGCUGCUGCAAGGGCUGUGUCUGAAGAUGCAACAGCCCGUCCAGAUUUCUCUAUCCCAGUUGGAAGAAAUGGAACGCAAUGACUCUGUUAUGCAUGUGGUGCUACUCUACACGAGUGAAGUCGGUGAUCAGCAACAAAUUCCCCCUUCCUUCAGGCAGUGCUCGAUCGAUACCCACAGGUGUUUGCAGACCCAGGAGAGUUACCACCAAGGAGGCCAUGGGAUCAUGCAAUUCCCGUAUGAGAAGGAAUGCCUAGCGCUGCUGCUGGCAAUUGAUCAUUGGCGCCCGUACUUGCAGCACGCUGAAUUCAUCGUCCGGACAGAUCAGAAGAGUCUCCUGCACCUUACAGACCAAAGGCUCAACACCCCGAUUCAGCAACGGGCCUUCACUAAGUUGGUGGGACUGCAUUUCACGAUCCAGUACAAGGCAGGGAUGCUGAACCGAGCCGCGGAUGCCUUGUCUCGUCGGACCCAUACGGAAGAACCAUCCCUGUCAGCGCUGUCGGUGUGUAAACCAGCAUGGCUAGAGGCCAUUCGCUCCAGUUAUCACGAGGAUCAAAUGACCAAAGAUCUCCUCACCCGCAUGGCAAUAGAUUCGGGCGGUGAGCCAGACUACAAACUGGUCAAUGGCAUCCUUCGAUUCAAGGGGCGUGUGGAGGAGAGCACAGCCCCAGAUCUGGCAGCCUGGCUACAAGAACGGGAGGUUCUUAGAGAGCACCUGCAGCAACAACUUAAGAAAGCCCAAGAUAGGAUGAAAGCCCAAGCAGACAAGCACCGCACAGAUCGUUCGUUCGAGGUGGGAGACAAAGUGUUGCUCAAACUGCAGCCUUUCAUUCAGACUUCAGUGGCCAAGCGUCCAUUUCAGAAGCUUGCGUUCCGUUACUACGGACCCUUCACGAUCCAGACCAAGAUUGGCGCGGCAGCAUACCGCUUGAACCUGCCAGCUACCAGCAAAAUUCACCCCGUGGUGCAUGUCUCCUUGCUGAAGCGAGCGCUGGGAGCCACGGUUCUGGUAAGUGCUGAACUACCACCGACUAACGCUGUCCUGCAGGCGGAACACAUGCCUACGCGUAUCCUGAACCGGAAGGGCGUCCAGAAGCUUGGUGAAACCCAAGAGCGGGUGCUGAAAGCAUUUCCAGCUACGCCGCCUUGGGGGCAAGGCGGCCUACAAGAGAGGAAGAAUGUCACGACCAGUACAGUUGGCAACAGCGGGGCCGAGGACUCUGAUCAUGAGGGCCCAGCGAACAAGGGAUCUGGCGAGCAGGAGGAGAAGAAGACGCUGACGAGUGGGCCUGGCAGCGAAUGGGAGCGGGCGUGA